UACGGAGGGUGCAAGCGUUGUUCGGAAUCAUUGGGCGUAAAGCGCGUGUAGGCGGCUUGGCAAGUCAGUUGUGAAAGCCCGGGGCCCAACCCCGGAAUUGCAUCUGAAACUGCCUGGCUAGAGUCCCGGAGAGGAAGGCAGAAUUCCCGGUGUAGGGGUGAAAUCCGUAGAUAUCGGGAGGAAUACCAGCGGCGAAGGCGGCCUUCUGGACGGUGACUGACGCUGAGACGCGAAAGCGUGGGGAGCAAACAGG
rnacentral:rRNA from 1 species